UGUUCAAUGAGCAGGUGUCCACAUGCUUUUGGUCAUGUAGUGUGUAUAAUCAACUGUUACUAAUGAUCCUCAGCAACAACCACAUGGUCAUGACGGCGUUUACAGAGGAAGCAAAUUAAGGUAAACGAAACAAUGUCAUUAAAUGGAAUGAUAAUGUAGGUUAUACCAACUGAAGGGAACUAUCAGUAAAUUGGCAGUUGAAUAUGUGUUAUUAGGCCUACUGACGAUCGAUACUAAUAGUGGCUAACAUUUAACAUGAUAGAAGUAGGAAACUGAGAAAGAUGGGGUAGCCUAUGUUUAAAACAUUUGAGUGGCCAUCCCUGCAAGUCAAAAGGCUGUACAAUUUAAAUUCUGCAUAAUGGCACAGCAUUUUAUAAACUUUACAGUAGGAAAGUUGAUAUGCUUCAGUUUGCUGCCAUAUGACUUGUUUUACAUUUGUCUCCAGCGACUAUAAGGUAAAAUGUAUCUAAACCGAGUGUCAUUUAUAUUUACAAUUCCCUUAUCCAAACGGAUUACUCAUUUACCUAGCUCUUAAGUUGUAAAUUACAGUCAGUGUUAUUUCUAAUAAAAAUUUAAGUGGAUGCUUUUUCCAAUUGAAACCUGUAGGUUUGCUAGACCUUAUUCAUGGUUUCCUCACGCGUAAAAGUGGUGGAAUUAAGUUAAGGUCAGAAUACAGCAUGUCUGUUGACACACCUCCGCCACACCUUAAUUUAUUCAAUCUCCACCCAAAACAAAUAGUAGGUGAAUAGAAUACUAUUCUCAUGCUUAUAUUCAAGUUCAGAAUACGCAUGGAGAGAGGUGCAUAAAAAGGGAAUUAUGUUCCAUUUACAUGCGCUUAACUUGGGUUGGAAUCGGGCCCUUGGUGAACAAAUAGGCUGGAUACCUUAGCUGUGUCUUCUAUGUCAUGGGAAUCUCCAGGGUAUUCCGAGCUCUAGAAUUCCAGCUGAAUAGGAUAUACUUCCAUAGGAUAUCAGGUUUGUUACAAUACAUGCAUCAUUGAAAUAGUCCUGGGCCUAUUCCACUUCACUGGGAAACAUAUUUUUUAUCUGUCUGGAUGACAAUUUCAAAAAUGUUCUCUUACUUUCCACAGAGUUGUCAAAAUUGAUAGAUUAUGACACAUUCUUCCUAUGUCCUGCUGGUUAAUGGAUUGCCAGGGAUGGAUUGGACCAAGAUGAGGACAAGUUCCUAUGAGGAGGAAAACUCUUGUCUAUGGCAUCGGGAUGACUAAGGUGUGACCCAAGACUGUGCUGAUCCAGCUCUUGUGGUCCUGUCAUCACAGGAUGAAAAAAGAUGUCUGUGAAAGAUGCAGGUUUUUUGAAGGACCUAAUAUCCAUCUGUUGGGAAAGUUGAAACUUUCACUGAAUCAUUCAGAUGUGUAUCCUUGUUUUGUAUUCCAGUAUGUGGAAUCAAUUGCACUGCUUGUACUGUAGUCUAAUGGUUAUUAGUCAAUUCAAUAAACAUCGAUUU